GACGAACGCUGGCGGCGUGCUUACACAUGCAAGUCGAACGGAAAGGCCCUGCUUUUGUGGGGUGCUCGAGUUGCGAACGGGUGAGUAACACGUGAGUAACCUGCCCUUGACUUUGGGAUAACUUCAGGAAACUUGGGCUAAUAACGGAUAGGAGCUCCUGCUGCAUGGUGGGGGUUGGAAAGUUUCGGCGGUUGGGGAUGGACUCGCGGCUUAUCAGCUUGUUGGUGGGGUAGUGGCUUACCAAGGCUUUGACGGGUAGCCGGCCUGAGAGGGUGACCGGCCACAUUGGGACUGAGAUACGGCCCAGACUCCUACGGGAGGCAGCAGUGGGGAAUAUUGCACAAUGGGCGGAAGCCUGAUGCAGCAACGCCGCGUGCGGGAUGACGGCCUUCGGGUUGUAAACCGCUUUCGCCUGUGACGAAGCGUGAGUGACGGUAAUGGGUAAAGAAGCACCGGCUAACUACGUG
rnacentral:rRNA from 1 species